GCUUAGAUUAAUUUAGAAUGAGAUUUUUACAUUAACAAAAACAAAACAUUGGUCGAAAGUUGUUUCGACAGAACUUGAAUGGAAUGAUAAAUCACAAGUACAGACUCAUAUUUUGUACAUUUUAGAGAAUGGAAAACCUGUGUGACAAAAGUCCUUCAAAACCACUGUAUCUAUGUAUAAACAAUGAUUCAAUGAUUAUUAUUCAUGGCUUCAUAUAGUCCAUGAUGAUAUGAUUACCACCCCAAAGUAAAUUUGUACUACAAUGGCUAGAGAUUAUCAUUGCAGUGGACAAGGACCAAGAAGCAAACGUAGACCACAUCAAAUUGGUACAGGAAGAAUUAAAAACGAUGUGUGAACGCUGGAUUAUUAGAGCCCAAAAUAUAUCUGAGAAAUACAUUGAUUUAAUAGGAAAAUACAUAUGUACCAAGGAGAAAGGAGCUGGUAUCCAUAUUAGAUGUGAACUUGUUCGAAGAAAACCAGAUCAAAGACAUGCCUCUAAGUAAAAACUACAACUGGUUGAAAACAAAAUUGCAAGAGUAAAACCUUUUUUCAUAACUUUCUUAAUAGUCUUUGCGUAUUACAGAUUGGAAAUCGUGUAUGAAGAAAAAAACAAAAACAAGCACGAGAACUGGAGGGCAUAAAAAAACUUUUGGCGAAGAAACUAGGACAAUCUUUUAGAACUCUUCCAGAAGUCAUAUCUCCGCUAUCCGAAGAGAAAGUAGAAUCCUUAGACCAAAGAGCCGUUCCUACAGAAAAUAAAUUUUAUACGAAAAUAACGGAAAUUGCAUCAUUCAAGAUUAUGGUCUGCAUUUAGAUGAAACAAACAGGGUAAAUUUCUAGAGUUGUCAGACGAAUCAAAAUGUCAAACAUUGAGUGUCAAUAGUAUAUCUUAUUAUUAUAAUUGUUUUUCUAGCAGUUCUUUCAAACCAUUAAUGCGAGAUUAAUGGUUUGAAAGACCAGCGAGAAAAAUUAUGGAACAGUCUUCAUUUCUCAGCCAGCGAAAAAAUAUCUUUCCUACAAUCAACAAAAAUACCCAAAGGCAACUCGUGCAACAUCUUUCUAAAGAAGUUGCAAGAUUAGAAACUUUCAGAGACCAUAAUUUACAUAAAUUAAUCGAAGAAAGUAAAAUAACUUUGACCAAUCUUUGGGAACAGUGUCACUAUGGCUCAAGCAUACGGAAUGGUUUUCCGGAAAUCUACACAAACGAUUACAAUCAGGCGAUGCUUGAUCAUUUUAAUGAAGAGAUGAAGAAGUGGGAGGAGUUCUAUGACCAACACUGGUAGAAUUUUAUAACCUGUUAAUUAUUUCUAUAUUAAGUCAUUUUUUCAUUUAUUUUUAAUGAAAUUAUUAUUAUUACGAUGAACACUUACAACAAAAUUCUGAGGGAGGCAAAGGAGAUGAGAAUAAACAGCCCAAGUUUAGAGUCAACCAAAGCAAACCAAAUUCAACAAAGAAGUCUUGGAAGCCCUCUGUGCUGAGUUUAAAAUCAUCCAAAUGCUCGGCUGAUGAACCAUGGACUUUCCAUUUUAGUUAUUUCGAGGCAAAUAUAGAUAUUAAGGAGGGACAAAAUAAUAAUAUGGUGUUAUUUAUGUAAAGCAUAUUUCCCUUUUCAGAAAGACAUCAAAAAUGAAAAAUAUUCCAUGGAGCUCGAGCAUUCUGAAAUGAUAUAUAACAGAUAUUAUGUUUUAUAUACUUCUUUUAAUAAAUAACUUUUAGUAA